GCAUGUGGCUUAAUUUGACUCAACGCGGGAAAUCUUACCGGGUCCGGACACACUGAGGAUUGACAGACAAAUAUGGAAAUUUUAUAUUUCUCAUAUAUAAAGAUGCUAGUUCUUUCAUGAUUAUGUGAUAGGUGGUGCAUGGCCGUUCUUAGUUCGUGGAGUGAUCUGUCUGCUUAAUUGCGUUUCAAUUUUUAUUAUGUAUACGUAUGACCCACGUUUACGCGUGCGAGUCUAGUAUGCUAUCAUUUGAAAGCAACGAACGUGACCGUAUCCUUUUAUUAUAUACGCACGCGUAUAUUUAUUCAUUAAAGGGACCGCUGUUUCUUUUUUUAAACCAGAGGAAGGUUACGGCAAUAACAGGUCUGUGAUGCC
rnacentral:rRNA from 1 species